rnacentral:rRNA from 1 species
GGAACUGCAUUCGAAACUGGCAGGCUAGAGUCUUGUAGAGGGGGGUAGAAUUCCAGGUGUAGCGGUGAAAUGCGUAGAGAUCUGGAGGAAUACCGGUGGCGAAGGCGGCCCCCUGGACAAAGACUGACGCUCAGGUGCGAAAGCGUGGGGAGCAAACAGGAUUAGAUACCCUGGUAGUCCACGCCGUAAACGAUGUCGAUUUGGAGGUUGUGCCCUUGAGGCGUGGCUUCCGGAGCUAACGCGUUAAAUCGACCGCCUGGGGAGUACGGCCGCAAGGUUAAAACUCAAAUGAAUUGACGGGGGCCCGCACAAGCGGUGGAGCAUGUGGUUUAAUUCGAUGCAACGCGAAGAACCUUACCUGGUCUUGACAUCCACAGAACUUUCCAGAGAUGGAUUGGUGCCUUCGGGAACUGUGAGACAGGUGCUGCAUGGCUGUCGUCAGCUCGUGUUGUGAAAUGUUGGGUUAAGUCCCGCAACGAGCGCAACCCUUAUCCUUUGUUGCCAGCGGUCCGGCCGGGAACUCAAAGGAGACUGCCAGUGAUAAACUGGAGGAAGGUGGGGAUGACGUCAAGUCAUCAUGGCCCUUACGACCAGGGCUACACACGUGCUACAAUGGCAUAUACAAAGAGAAGCGACCUCGCGAGAGCAAGCGGACCUCAUAAAGUAUGUCGUAGUCCGGAUUGGAGUCUGCAACUCGACUCCAUGAAGUCGGAAUCGCUAGUAAUCGUAGAUCAGAAUGCUACGGUGAAUACGUUCCCGGGCCUUGUACACACCGCCCGUCACACCAUGGGAGUGGGUUGCAAAAGAAGUAGGUAGCUUAACCUUCGGGAGGGCGCUUACCACUUUGUGAUUCAUGACUGGGGUGAAGUCGUAACAAGGUAACCGUAGGGGAACCUGCGGUUGGAUCACCUCCUU